CGGUUCCGCAGUAUCGACAUCGACAACAUAAAAAAUACAUAUACACUUGCACUUAGAAGAAAAUAAUUCCAAAAGUUUGAAAUUUUGAAUUUUGAAAUUUUGACUCGAAAGGAGGGGAAUCCCCUUACUCAGCUAUAUAAGCAAAGUCGAGUGUGUCACAUUGCAUUAGAUGACUGGACGAUACACGUGCAUUCCACCUCGACAAGCACAAAAACAUCAUGGGUAAUAUACUCUUUUGCUGGUCAAGAACCCAAUAUCAGGUAGGUCAGGUGUGUUUGUGUGUGUCCCAACAUUGCCCAACAAAGUGACAGCUUUUCUUUAACCUCCUGUAUUUGGAUUAUCCAUGCCCAAAGGAAUACAUUUCAUUGUGUACGUUUUGGUUCCAGAAACUUUUCAACCACAUUGCCUCCCACUGUGAGCACCAGUUGUCACAUAGGGAUUCAUGGCCACGAUUUCUGGUUGUUGAAAGUGAUGACGGUCUCCCACUCAAGAUCAACCCUUUCCGUUAGUGUCGAAAGUUGUGGAAGGAAUAUGUGGCACUGUGAACAAUAUCACUCGUCUUCGAUCUGGCUCUCCUCAUAGAAUGUGCCAAGAGACAGCAAUCUCAAAAUCUGCUCAACGCACACCAUUUUGCUGAUACUGAGGUAGUUGUAUCAGCACACAAAUCCCUUAAUUCAUGCAGAGGCAUUGUUCGAGAUCGAUCGAAAUGCCUUUCUGACAUGUCAGAAGAGGAGAUUGCGAUGGAACUGAAAUCUCAGGGGGUGACUUCCGUGGAACGAUUCACCAGAAAAGAUAAUGACCGAGUUAUCAAUACCAGUACUUAUCUUAUUACUUUUGCUCUUUCAAAACUGCCGACAUCCAUCAAAGCUGGAUAUUUUAACAUCCGUGUGGAUACAUAUAUUCCUAAUCCCUCCGUUGUUUUAGAUGUCAACAUUUUGGACAUGUUGCUAAGUCCUGUAAUAACUCACCAAUUUGCUCUCGCUGUAGUGGCAAACAUGAGAACACUGAAUGCACAAAUGCCAUCAAAUGUGCAAACUGCCAUAGCGAGCAUAUGUCUUACUCCAGGUCAUGUCCAGUAUAUGAGAAAGAAUCUAAAAUUACUAAAAUCAAAUAUACAAACAAUAUUUCUUUCUCAGAUGCCAAGAAAUUGGUUGUGGAUCAGUCGCAAAAAACUCUACCCAAAUCA